AUACAUGCAGUCGAGCGGACAGAUGGGAGCUUGCUCCCUGAUGUUAGCGGCGGACGGGUGAGUAACACGUGGGUAACCUGCCUGUAAGACUGGGAUAACUCCGGGAAACCGGGGCUAAUACCGGAUGGUUGUUUGAACCGCAUGGUUCAAACAUAAAAGGUGGCUUCGGCUACCACUUACAGAUGGACCCGCGGCGCAUUAGCUAGUUGGUGAGGUAACGGCUCACCAAGGCAACGAUGCGUAGCCGACCUGAGAGGGUGAUCGGCCACACUGGGACUGAGACACGGCCCAGACUCCUACGGGAGGCAGCAGUAGGGAAUCUUCCGCAAUGGACGAAAGUCUGACGGAGCAACGCCGCGUGAGUGAUGAAGGUUUUCGGAUCGUAAAGCUCUGUUGUUAGGGAAGAACAAGUACCGUUCGAAUAGGGCGGUACCUUGACGGUACCUAACCAGAAAGCCACGGCUAACUACGUGCCAGCAGCCGCGGUAAUACGUAGGUGGCAAGCGUUGUCCGGAAUUAUUGGGCGUAAAGGGCUCGCAGGCGGUUUCUUAAGUCUGAUGUGAAAGCCCCCGGCUCAACCGGGGAGGGUCAUUGGAAACUGGGGAACUUGAGUGCAGAA
rnacentral:rRNA from 1 species